GAGUUUGAUCAUGGCUCAGGACGAACGCUGGCGGCGUGCUUAACACAUGCAAGUCGAGCGGGGUCCAACCAGUGGCAACACUGGGGAAGACCUAGCGGGCGAACGGGUGAGUAACACGUGAGGAACCUGCCCCGAAGUCUGGGAUAACCCGAGGAAACUCGAGCUAAUACCGGAUGUCUUCUUCUGAUCGCAUGGUUAGUUGAAGAAAGAAUUUCGCUUCGGGAGGGCCUCGCGGCCUAUCAGCUUGUUGGUGGGGUAACGGCCCACCAAGGCGUCGACGGGUAGCUGGUCUGAGAGGACGAUCAGCCACACUGGGACUGAGACACGGCCCAGACUCCUACGGGAGGCAGCAGUGGGGAAUAUUGCGCAAUGGGCGAAAGCCUGACGCAGCAACGCCGCGUGCGGGAUGAAGGCCUCGG
rnacentral:rRNA from 1 species